AUUGAACGCUGGCGGCAGGCCUAACACAUGCAAGUCGAACGAGUGGCGGACGGGUGAGUAAUGUCUGGGAAACUGCCCGAUGGAGGGGGAUAACUACUGGAAACGGUAGCUAAUACCGCAUACCAUCGGAUGUGCCCAGAUGGGAUUAGCUAGUAGGUGGGGUAAUGGCUCACCUAGGCGACGAUCCCUAGCUGUUCUGAGAGGAUGACCAGCCAGACUGGAACUGGGACACGGUCCAGACUCCUACGGGAGGCAGCAGUGGGGAAUAUUGGACAAUGGGCGCAAGCCUGAUGCAGCCAUGCCGCUUGUAUGAAGAAGGCCUUCGGGUUGUAAAGUACUUUCAGCGAGGAGGCGUUACUCACAGAGGAAGCACCGGCUAACUCCGUGCCAGCAGCCGCGGUAAUAC
rnacentral:rRNA from 1 species